rnacentral:rRNA from 1 species
AUGAACGCUAGCUACAGGCUUAACACAUGCAAGUCGAGGGGCAGCAUCAUCAAAGCUUGCUUUGAUGGAUGGCGACCGGCGCACGGGUGAGUAACACGUAUCCAACCUGCCGACAACACUGGGAUAGCCUUUCGAAAGAAAGAUUAAUACCGGAUGGCAUAGUUUUCCCGCAUGGGAUAAUUAUUAAAGAAUUUCGGUUGUCGAUGGGGAUGCGUUCCAUUAGGCAGUUGGCGGGGUAACGGCCCACCAAACCUACGAUGGAUAGGGGUUCUGAGAGGAAGGUCCCCCACAUUGGAACUGAGACACGGUCCAAACUCCUACGGGAGGCAGCAGUGAGGAAUAUUGGUCAAUGGACGAGAGUCUGAACCAGCCAAGUAGCGUGAAGGAUGACUGCCCUAUGGGUUGUAAACUUCUUUUAUACGGGAAUAAAGUUAGCCACGUGUGGCUUUUUGUAUGUACCGUAUGAAUAAGGAUCGGCUAACUCCGUGCCAGCAGCCGCGGUAAUACGGAGGAUCCGAGCGUUAUCCGGAUUUAUUGGGUUUAAAGGGAGCGUAGGCGGGUUGUUAAGUCAGUUGUGAAAGUUUGCGGCUCAACCGUAAAAUUGCAGUUGAUACUGGCGACCUUGAGUGCAACAGAGGUAGGCGGAAUUCGUGGUGUAGCGGUGAAAUGCUUAGAUAUCACGAAGAACUCCGAUUGCGAAGGCAGCUUACUGGAUUGUAACUGACGCUGAUGCUCGAAAGUGUGGGUAUCAAACAGGAUUAGAUACCCUGGUAGUCCACGCCGUAAACGAUGAGUGCUAGGUGUUAGGCCCUUUCCGGGGCUUAGUGCCGGAGCUAACGCAAUAAGCACUCCGCCUGGGGAGUACGACCGCAAGGUUGAAACUCAAAGGAAUUGACGGGGGCCCGCACAAGCGGUGGAGCAUGUGGUUUAAUUCGAAGCAACGCGAAGAACCUUACCAGGGCUUGACAUAUACAUGAAAGUCUAAGAGAUUAGACCCCUCUUCGGAGCGUGUAUACAGGUGGUGCAUGGUUGUCGUCAGCUCGUGCCGUGAGGUGUCGGCUUAAGUGCCAUAACGAGCGCAACCCUUACGGGUAGUUACCAUCAGGUUAUGCUGGGGACUCUACCCGGACUGCCGUCGUAAGAUGUGAGGAAGGUGGGGAUGACGUCAAAUCAGCACGGCCCUUACGUCCGGGGCUACACACGUGUUACAAUGGGGGGUACAGAAGGCAGCUACACGGCGACGUGGUGCUAAUCCCGAAAGCCUCUCUCAGUUCGGAUUGGAGUCUGCAACCCGACUCCAUGAAGCUGGAUUCGCUAGUAAUCGCGCAUCAGCCACGGCGCGGUGAAUACGUUCCCGGGCCUUGUACACACCGCCCGUCACACCACGAGAGUUUGUAACACCCGAAGUCGGUGAGGUAACCUUUUAGGGGCCAGCCGCCUAAGGUGGGAUGGAUGAUUGGGGUG